UUUCCGACUGCGGCUUCGCUGUAGGAAGGAGCUUCUGCUCCCUUGCUGCUGGGGGACUUGCACGUGGCUUGCCAAGGAAGAUUGGCCCUGAGCUUACAUCUGUUCCCAUCUUCCUCUACUUUAUAUGUGGGACGCCUGCCACAGCAUGGUUUGAUAAGCAGUGCGUAGUUCCACAACCAAGAUCCAGGAUGGUGAACCUUGGGCCGGCAAUGCAAAGCACACAAACUUAACAGCUACGCGCCACCAGGCCAGCCCCUUGUUACUGAACCAGGUCCUUUCUAGAAGCGCCAGAUCAGAGGUUGAGUUUCCUGGAAGAAAUAUCAUAAAGUCUGAAAGGACACACCAGGGAAUCUUGAUUAUGGACCCUAUAGGGAAUGAAAUGAUAAGUUGAACCGUGGCAGGACAAACAUCAGCGCAGACAUGGUUGUCAGGCUGCAUCGAACAGCUGAGUCAGGACUGCCAGCACAUUCCUCCUCCAGAGCAGAGGUCGGCGUGGAAGUGACUGCUGAACCCAAGCUCUUUGGAUCAAGUUCAGUACCUAUAAAUAGGCCUACUGAUUUACAUUUUCUUUUGUUAACUACUUUAAAUUACAAAACAUUUUCUUUUUUAAAUGACCAUCCCAAUUCUCCUAAUUCUGGGAUAGACUUUGUAUAGAUAACACAUCUGUUGGACUCAGUAAGGCUGGAGGAGCCUUAGGAUAUGUAACUAACUGAGUUUGUGCCCCUUCCCUGGAUACCAGGAGGUCCCUUCUAUUAAAGUUUUCUGCUAAAAAUCCCACCAGCUCCAGUUAUGAUAAGAUUCAUCCGUGGAAAUUAAAUUUUGCUUCUGACGAGCUCACAAUUAACAACCUCAUCAGUAAAAAUUACGCCAUCCAGGAUGAUAGGUUUUCUGUGAAGCCAGUUAAAAUAUCGCUGAUCGUGCCACGACACAGGAAAUGACUACUAACACCCUUUCUCUCAACUGAUCCAUCAAGGAAAAUCUCUCUGCUCUCCUGUGUUGUAAUCUAAGGCGUAUUUGGUCAUAACGCCUCUCAGACACUUGAGAAGGAUACUUAGACAAUUUACCCAAAUUACAGGGUACACCUGUCAUGGCUUCCUGUAUUUGUGCGACAGCGUUAUCACUACAAAAGUUGGGACUCAGAGAGAGGAAGGGGUGUGUCACCUGGGAAAGGUUCCUCCACCAUUAAGGAGCAUUCCUACCUCUCC